rnacentral:pre_miRNA from 1 species
AACAGGUUAUAUAUGGUGCAGUGUGAUAGUGGAAUAUACUGCAUCACAUGUAACCUCCCUA